ACUUCUCCAUCUACUCUGCUGCUUCUCGCGACAAAGAAAUUGAAGAACACUACACCUCUGCUUCAUCGAAAAGCCACCGUUAAUAGCAUGCGUACUCGUUUUCUCAAUAUCGACUACUUCAAAGCUUCGAAUGGAGCCCUAGAUGAACUAAACUUUCUCCGUCUUCCAGUCCCUCAUUUCCCUCCCUCGAACAUCUGCUUCGGAGGAGAACUUUGUUGCUUUGAUUCCGUUUUAAGCGUCUCUUUGGACGUCGAGGGAUUUUCAAUUGAUGAUGCUCUCUCUCGCUUCUUCUCUGACGUUCUUCCUCACAGCAUUGUCGUUGAAAUUGCAGAUUUUCCUGAUUUUUGCGCACAGAAUCGAAAUGAUUGCACUGUCGGAAGGAAAAGAAUUGCAGAAAGGACAUUUUCAAUUUCUCAACUCGCCGACUUUCGAUCCACAGAGGAGAGAAGAUUCUCUUUGUAUGACGGAAUUAUUUCAAAUAAGGCAAGGAAUUUCGGAUCUGAACUUCUGGAUAUUGAAGUAAUAGAGGAAAAUGAGCCUACUGGUGAAGACAAGUACAGAAGCGGGUUUAGAGUUAUGCAAUUUGAAUCACAUGAGCUGGAUUUCUUCUUGGAUGAGCAUCUGUUCUUUGAUGGAAAAGAAGAUGGACAAAUCUUCUCUGAAAUCCUAGAGCAUAAUAGUACUACACAUAUGCUGGAUUUCGUGCUGGGAAUCACAAUUCAAUACCCUCAUGAAGCUACAAAAUCAGUUUAUUCAGUUGAAGAGAUAGCUUCAGACUAUCAUAUGGAGGAAAGGGAAUCUUAUCUUAUGGAAGAUGCAGGUUCUGCACAGGAUGCGAUUUGUUACUAUGGAAACAAAUUACCUCUUUUAGAAGCAAAUGAAAUUAGCACGAGAUGCUACACAGGCCCAUCCAUGGAUGAAGAGCUUCAUUUUCUAUUUGAAAAUAUUGGAUAUCAAAAUUUGACUGAGGAAGAUGUCCUAGUGAUUGACAACAAGGAAUUAUUGAGAUCUAUGGAUACUGAUGUUUUAGAGUGCUUACCAGAACAAUGUUCAAUAAAGCAAUGCCCUCAACCUGAACUGACACAUCUUGAUUUGGCCCUAGAAAUGGAAUUUAUAAAUGUAAAGGAAGAGAAUGAUCUUAAAGAGGUAUCAGCGGUUAGCCUGGAAAUGUCAGGUGGUGGUUCUUUUCCGGUAACCAACCUACCUUAUUUUCAGGAGUUUCAGAUCCUUGAUUUAGACUACAAAUCUUUUGAAGCCUUUUCUGGCUCACAAACAAUCAAAGAACCAGAGGCAUGUGCCAAGAUGUUCAAAGAAGAUACAGACUCUAUUUGUAAUUUUUAUGAGUCAAUUGUUAGUCAUGAGCUAACACUGGCUGAUGACUCAUUCAAACCCUUACCUAUUCCUGUUGUCUCUGAUGGCAUAGAUGUACAGUUAAUGUCUACAAUUAUUGAGGAAAUAUUGGUCGACUCCAAACCACAUCUUCCAUCUGCAUCUGAUGGGAUAUAUUUAGAUUGGCACUUCUUGGAGGAAGAUGGAUGUAGACAUGAUAUUUUUACUACUCAGUGGAACAUACUAGAGGGGAUAGAUACAUAUAGCACUGAUUAUGAGUCUUUUAAUACUGAACUGGUGGUAACUGAUUUUGUUUACUUUGAGGAUAUUCCUGAUGGGUCAAACGUGUUAGAAAGAAAGGAAAUAUUGAAUGAGAUUACCAGUGUUGAUAAUAAGCAAGUUUCUUCAAGUUUGUCAAAAUAUGAAUGUGAAACCGGAAAAGAGAAUCUCCAACCCAGUGGAAUUGUUGAGAAGGUUGUGCCAUUAUCUGAAAUGAUGUCAAAUUUCAAUGAUCUGGAGUUUUUCUUGAAUCCUCACAGAGCUGCUAUACAGAGAAAUAGUGAACCUGCUGUUAAGGAUACACCUGACAACAAAGCUGAAUUCUCUGUUGUUUCACCCAGCAACUCAAUAUCAGCAUGCGCUUCCACUGAAGCAAAAUUGCAAAAGUGGGAUAUUGAGGUUCACCAAGUUAAACUAUCUGACAAUAUUCUGGAUCUCAUUGUCCACUUCCAAAAAAUCUACUUGGAGGUAUUGGAAAGUAGUACAGAUUUGAAAAAGAACUCAUCUUCAGUUGUUAAUGAUAUUAACUUGCUAAGCAUUAAAAAGCAAAAGCUGAUGGAUUGGAUUAAAUACAGAAGUGCAGGGAGAACAACAUUGGCUUGCAGUGAUGAAACCCUCGUAGCAUUUGCCACAUUAUAUGCAAUUAAACAGAUGGCUUCUUACUUGUGCUUUUAUGGAAUCCAUGUGACUUCUUUGUAUGUAAACAAGUUAUGUAGAAGCUUCAAUCACUUGAAACUCAGAUUAAGCUUCCUCCAAUCCUCGAUUGAGAAUGAGCUCCAGAAGGCUGAUAUUAAAAUAACUGAAUCACACCCAUCCCUAUCUGUUAUCCAGGAGAUUUUGUUGGCAAAAACAUCUGAAAAUGGUAAAGUAUUGAUUGUGGCUGACCAAGUUUUCUGGUGUCCAUUGAAGAGAUUGUUGAAUUCCAUGGGAGUAUUAUUCCAUGAAGUACAAAAUAUUCAAAAACAUGCAGAUCAGCCAGAUGCUUGGGAUGGUGAUGAGGGCAGAGAACUUGCAAUGCAAGCCUUGCAACAUUCUGAUUGCUUAUUAAUAUCUCAAGAGCAUUUUACUGCAUCACUUCCAUUCAACAAGUUCAGAAUUCUCUUGGAAUAUGGAGGUUCAUACAGCUCAUCUAGAAUAUCCACAAUUUGCCCGAAGGUAGUUGGUUUGCCUUUUGUCCACUUCCUGAAGGUGGAACUAGAUGAAUGCAUUGCUUCCAAAGCGCUUUGUGAAGGUGUUUAUGUACCAGAAAGUUCUCAGUUUAUAAUGGGGGAAACCACUCAAUCAAUUCCUACCCUGUAUGAGGGUAUCUAUGGCCAGAAGUUUGAGGAACUGCUAAACGUUUUACCUAUUGAGGAGAGUUUUCAAAUGGAAAUUUUGGGAGCUACAGAUCAUGUAGAGACUUGCAGUGUGCCUAUGACAGGUCCUAGUGUGUCCUCUGACAUGGAAAGCAAGCAGAUACAAUCAACUAUGCCUUCAUAUCCUGAUAUAGUCCUUGUUGUGAACACCCAAAAUUUUGAUAAGGAAAUGCUAAUAUCCCGGAGAAGCUCAUACCAAAGGAUUCUUGCACUGGAGAAACAAGGAGUUCAAGUUGUGGAGCGUGAAAUGAAUCUUCCUGUGGAUCUUGUCAUUAGUGCUGCAAUGUGCCUAGUAUGGUAUGAUUAUAGAAACAUUGGACAAAAAACAACAUCUACAGAAGAAGCUUCUUCAAGCAUACCAUUGUGCAUUGAAAAUAUUGCGACGAACAUUCUGACAUCACUCAGUUUUGCUUUCAGCAAUUGUAUCCUGGUAUUUGAGGGGGAGAGAAAUUUCCUUGCUUCCACAAUGGAGUCAUCAGAUGCAAUCUAUGCUGCUGCAGCUAGUCUGGGAGUAGAUUUACAACUCUUUUACUCGUAUUCAUGUGAAUUAACAGAUGAGAUUAUCCUUGGUUGUAUCAGAUAUGCUAUUAAGUUGAAUAGAGGCCUAUAUCCAAAAAUGCUUGAAUCAGAAACCCUUGCAGAAUCAUUUCUUACCAGCUUUCCUUCAAUUAAUCCACUCUUGGCUCAUGCAAUACUGUGUUCUGGAGGCCUUCUUGUUGAAUUUCUUAAUUGGUCACAUGAUCGCAGAAUCAGGGAAAUUGGGAAGUAUCAUGUUCCUGAUGAAAGUCUUGCUCUAUUUGGUGCUCUAUGUAGAUUUGGGGAGCUUGAAGAAUGUAAGUCUGGAAUGACAGAAUGUUCAUCAGUAUCUUCUGCUCCAGAUUCAGGGGAUAAUCACAGCAGAAGUGCCUCAGAUAGAAAAAAGAGAAAAUAUUUAAGCGCCAGCACACUUGAAAUACCCAUGGAUGACUUGCAGUUGGAUAGAUUAAAUCAAUCUACAGGUGACAACUUGAAGUCUUCUAGAAUGUUUCAGCCAUUUCAAUCAUGGAAUUUUGGCAAAGGUCCUCAAACAUUAGACAAGAUUGAGGGUUCCAGUUAUUCUCUGAAUGAUCAAUUGUUUGGUCCAAAAUGGGGCUUGAAUAUUUUUCGAAUGGAUAAUGUAGACUAUAAUGGCAACAGCCCUGAAAAUAUGCAGGAGGAUUUCAGAGGUGAAGUUGUUGAGCCCAUUAAUAGUUCACUUAUGUGUGAGGACUUUCCCUCCAUUGCUAACCCUUUCAGGAUGCCAAAUAUAGAAAGAGAUCAUAUAACAGGAAAUUUUAUAACCACUAGAUCAUCAUUUGGUCCAAGCAACCAUCCUUCCUUCCCAAUGUCUGAAGAGAUCAGCUCUAGCACAGAUAUCUGGAAUCUUUUAAAGGAUCACAAACCAAGGUUGGAGGAAAACAUUUGUGGAUAUCCAACUAUAGAUGCCAACAAGGGCGCAUCUGCAUUGAGACAACAAGAAAUGUUAGACAAAAGAACUAUCCAGGGCUCUAACAGAAAUGUCAAAGAACAAUUAUCUCAAGAUAGUGGAACAGUACUGUCAAAUUCAAUUCGUUCAUCACAAAUUCAACAAGCAUCACCUUGGACAAUCAAGUUUCUUAAUCGAAUCAAAGAAAAGAGCAGGGCACAUAGGUUAUCCCUUCCAUGUGAAACUGCCAUAACUAGUUUUGGAUAUUCUGGGAAUGCGGAGAAAAUUACAAAGAGAAAAAGUCCAUCAACUUUUGAUCAUUAUAGGUAUCAAGGAGGAAGCAAUCCAAAGAAAACAAUCAAACAAAAGAGGCAGAAGUCAUCGACACAACCAACUUCAUCCAAGAAUGAGAAGAUUGCAGAUUCCAUUCUUCCAACAUGGACUCCUAUUGAUAAGAGAGCGAGACAGACUCUAUCUUUUGUGAGGAAUGCAAGCGGAACACAAAGUAAGCUAGUUUGGAGUAAUAGAAAUCUAAGAUAAAGAUUGCAAAACAAAGCAUGAAAUGGCUGGAUCAUGUGCCAGAACAAAUGCAAAAUUAUAUAUCACAAGAUCCAAAAGAUCAAGGAGAGGAUAAUGGACUGAAUGACAUAUAUGCUUGUGUCAUGGGCCUAAAGCAUCAUGGACGAGUGCGUGGACUAAGGUUGGGUCCAACCGCAACUAGGUUCAAUGGUCCCUGAUGACAGGAAUGAAGAACAAACAAGAAUUACACAAGAAGGGCAAAAGGCAGCUGAAGAGCGUGCAAAUAAAUUGAUUAAGGAAAAUAGGGAAUUACGAGCUCAACUGAAUGAAAUGGAGGCUAGAUUGGCUAAUAGACAGGGCUCCCAAGGCGAAUCAUCUCAGUUUCCAAACCACUCUUCACCUCAUGCUUUUCAAAGCCCCUUUUACCACCAAUUUAGUGCCAACCAUAACAAUGAUUUAUAGAAUUUAACUGAAAGUACAAAAUGUUAUUUGUUGACUAGUCAUCAAGGGAUGUUUGCAUCUGUAGUAGAAGCAACUAUAGGAGUGGUAUCUGACUUGGUCCAGGAUGGGUUAAGGUUGUGAUCGACAUUCCUAUCCUCAAUGAUGCACUUCUAGUACGUCCACAUGGACGUUACAAAACAAUUGAAAGUGUUGUUGGUGUACCCAUUACUUGGUUU